ACAUGCCUACAAAAUAGUAUUAAUGCACUAGAUCCCAUUAGAACUCCACAGUUAAGCACGCUCAUGAUAGAGUAGUACUGGGAUGGAUGACUGCUCGAGAAGUCCUGGUGUUUUACAUGCC
rnacentral:rRNA from 1 species